UUGUUGCGGUCGUUCAAAGUGUGGUAAUUAAUUAGUUGUUUUAAAUGAAUUAAGUUCUAAAUUCAGUGUAAACUAACUUUUGUUAAAGUGUGGAUUUUGUUUUUUGUGUUAUUUUUGCUGUUCGCUGCAGUUCUGAGCAAUUCUGAUGGAGAAAAAUGUCCAGUUCGUAGAAGAUCUCACACGAGCUGGAACGAAGAAGGGGAAGGAUAAGCUUCUUUUUCCCCUUCGUCUUGAUUUUCUGAUGGGUCAGUUCAAAGGAAAGAAACCAGCCACACGAGACAGCCUCGGCUCGAGAUAAAGUUUACAACGAAAUUGGAUCAUCUAAUUUAUAACUGCGAUGGAAGAAACAGAGCUGGAGUUUUAACGUCACGGCUUCGCAGCAAUCCAUGGCCCUUGUACUCGAUAACAACGGUAUCCGAUUCAACUGCUUCGAAUCUGGAGUCACGUUCACGGGUUAUCAGUUUUAAUGGGACGGUGUCUUCUGAU